rnacentral:rRNA from 1 species
UGGCCAGGGGCUUAAAGAAGUACGCUGAGCGGCGUGCCUAAUACCCGCAAGUCGAACGCUUCUUUUUCCACCGGACCUUGCUCCACCGGAAAAAGAAGAGUGGCGAACGGGUGAGUAACACGUGGGUAACCUGCCCAUCAGAAGGGGAUAACACUUGGAAACAGGUGCUAAUACCGUAUAACAAUCAAAACCGCAUGGUUUUGAUUUGAAAGGCGCUUUCGGGUGUCGCUGAUGGAUGGACCCGCGGUGCAUUAGCUAGUUGGUGAGGUAACGGCUCACCAAGGCCACGAUGCAUAGCCGACCUGAGAGGGUGAUCGGCCACAUUGGGACUGAGACACGGCCCAAACUCCUACGGGAGGCAGCAGUAGGGAAUCUUCGGCAAUGGACGAAAGUCUGACCGAGCAACGCCGCGUGAGUGAAGAAGGUUUUCGGAUCGUAAAACUCUGUUGUUAGAGAAGAACAAGGAUGAGAGUAACUGUUCAUCCCUUGACGGUAUCUAACCAGAAAGCCACGGCUAACUACGUGCCAGCCGCCGCGGUAAUUA